CAUAAUUAUUUGAUCAAAAUCAGCUGUAAAACCCAUGUCAUAAUAUACAUGUAGGUACAGCACAUAUAAAGUCAAACAAGGUGGAAAAUACAUAUCAUGAUAUUAUGUCAGACAAGGUACCUGAUGGCAUCAACGUAACUCAUUAUGUCCCUCUCUCCAUUGACGUAUUGUUCUUUGAGGCGUAACAUGCGUUCGUCAAUGCGUACAUAUGUGGCUCUCCUCGGGUUUGGUCGGUCAGUAAGGGACGGUUCAUAUUCCUACGUCUGUGGGGAGGUUAGCAAUACAUUUGAAUAGGCGAAACAGGAAUAGGCGGAACAGGAAUAGGCGAAACAGGAAUACACCUCUGAACUCAGGUCAACUGUCAGGUUGAAGUCUGGUAUGCUCUCCUCGGCAUCAAGGUGGACAAGUUCGAGAAGAAGUGCUGCUGGGUCAGUGAUCACUUGCCGCCAUACCCGUGCUACGAGGAGCCUUGGUCAUGGCGAGAUUCUUGAUUACGUGUUUUGAAGCCGUCACGUAGAUUACGAUCACAUAUGAAGGGGUCCCAGCCAAAACAACCUACCGUAAGUCAAUUUUCCAACUUUUCAGGAGAGGCCAAAGCAUACCUGACUUCCUUCAUAUUUCCAUUUAAAUUCCUGACUCAAUUCAAUUCAAUUCAACUUUAUUCUCCAAGACUAUAUACAUAGUAUGAGGACUUCAAAAUAGUCACUGUUGCAACCCUGUGAUAUUGGUAUCAAAAUGUGGAGAAUUAAGUCAACUUUCUCAGUCUGCACUCAUAUCAAAACAGCCUAAGUCUGACUUAGGUUGUUACCACCGGGACCCCAUCAUCUGAUGGUUUCCUUUGGUACAGCCUCGGGGAAGGUUGGUGACUUUCGAAGACAGAGCGUUCUCGAUUAUUGCAGCGAGGUUGUGUGGUACGCAUGACCACUCCAAGUCGGGCAAGUCCCGAGCAUGGGCCAACGUCUCUUUUUUCGUGAGGCAUUCCUUGCUCGCUAUUUACAUCUGAUCAUUUAAGGUGUCGCAGAUCAUUUUUGUCAUGUGUAUGCAGUUCGGCACCAAAAUCACUACAUUUUGAUUUUGAUAUAAUUAUUUGCUUUACGAGAGUGAAAAAUGCUCGAAGACAUUAUUAAGGCCAAUUAAAAGAAUUACCAAAAGUUCACCUACAUACCUAAAAGGAAACUAUUUGUUUCAAAGAGGAAAAUUCUAGUCAAACGAAUAAUCUCUUGUAGUGAGUGUGAUUUCCUGACAACCGAGUCGGCAUUUUACUUUUGUAAUGAGGGUAUGGUUGAGUUUGUUAUAUCCAUCCUGUCGCAGUACAAUGGGAUGCUUUUAUAUAAGUUGCAGUAUGCAUGCAACUGGCGGUUUGUAUACAGCUCGCACUAAUGUAACUCCAUGCGGUAUUUAUAUUGUACUUAGAGUAUGGACAAUGUAGUUCACCUGUUUUUCGGAAAUAUCUUUUGAUUUUUUUUCUUGUCCAAAUAAAAGGUCACUACUGCUGUACAAUUGAAUAGUCAUUUUCAUUAUCAUUUUGCAAAUAAAACAAUUGGACAGGCGUCCGCGUUGGCGUUUCGGGGACAUUGCGAAAACUCUUAGAAUAUCCCAGAAAUAAAAGGACAAAUGACCACAAAAACACCGUUUCUCAAAAAAACUAGCGAUUUAUACCAAAUAAAUCUGACGGGGGACAAAACUGCAAACAAAUUUAGCAAGGCUAUGAAAAAUAAUAAGGCCUGUAGUGAAAGAUUUCAAGGAGAAAAUCACUAUAUAACAAUUCGAACUUAAUAGUGUGUUUGGUAACCAUUGAGGGUUUCCAGGGACGCAGAUUGAUAGCCUCAAUUUGGUACACUUAUCUGAUUGGUUCUGGUCACCCAAGGUGUGGACCCUGGAAGUUCCAAAUGUGUCUUACGUUGUUUCUUAUUGGCCAAUGUAUUCCUCUGUGCACGCUAUAAGACCCAGCGCUUCAGUUGAGAAGUCACUUUAGAAUACUUUGACAAUUACAGCAACAACCUAAAACGACAUUUGAACUUCAUCUCAUUCCUUGAAUCUUUUAGGCGCCCAGAAACUAGUCCCCCACCCCCAUAUUACCUGCACUGAAAUAGCAUUUGUGACGAUUUUUUUAGGAUCUAUUUUGAGUAUCACCACGCGUGAGCAAGAUGCGGAUGACUGUGUACAGCAUUGGAAAAUGAGUAUUGGCUGUCGAUGCUCCUCAGGUCUGUUCUAAUAUCAGGCACGUGACGGGCGAAUGUGAAGCCACCAUCGUUGCUGCCUUUGAGUGGUAAACAGACAAAGUGUUACCAUAGCAACUGUUGCAAAAUGGCAAGGCAAAGAACCGGAGCAUUCCCAGAUGGCAAAAUUUAUGGCCCCAUAUGGCUAAUGUACGGGCAAGUGUGGGCAGCCAUAUGGGUACUCAUGUGGGCAAUUAAUGUGGGUCCCAAGUGGGCAAAUGUGGGCCCCACCUUUCCCCACCCAGACCCCACGUGGAAUAUGCACCCGGGUGUUCGGAUGGGGACCAUGUGGGCAAACCGGGCAUGUAAGUUUUACAUGGGUUCUAUAUGGACUUCCUUUUGGGUUCAUUGAAUGGCAUUUUCUUAUAAUAUAAUUUUCAUAUAAUAUUGUGUACAUUGGUCUUUAUCUAGAGCUCAUUUAUUCUCUUCAGUUUUACAGUGUAGGCCUAACCUCCAGCACGUUGUACUGCUUCUGAAUAAAAAUCCCCUAACUGUUGAAGUUCUCACCAGCAACUCCUGGGUGAGAUGAGUUGGACACUCUCCUCUCCACAGGGUGUAAGGGGUAAAUAUCUAGAGUGACCCUUGAUGUCUUCAUUGGCAUACCACCACUAGCAACUUGUGAAAAGUAUAGAAUCUGAUGUUUCUGUGAUGUUUUAUGCCCAUGGUUUGCAUUAAUUGAUUUUGAGCAUAAGUUUUACAACGUAUAUACAUAUGUUGAACAUUAUUAGUUGACUUGAACAAUCAGCCCAAGUUGCCCAUGUGAUAUCCAAUGUGGGAUCCACAUGCAUGUGACACAUGGCAGUGAGCUCAGAUCUGCCUACUUCGUCCCUAUAUGAAACCAUAUGCAAAAUGUGCCUAUAUUUGCCUAUACGUAACCCACAUUGGACCUGGGUGUCCUCGGGGUAACUGAGACACAGCAGAAAAAGCUUCAAAACCUAUUCAUUGAUUCCAUUUAGAUUAUGCGGUCCAUACGGUUGAAAAGAAAACACUUCAAGAGGUGCUUUUGAAAGCGAAUUCUAUUAUGUUCAAGAUUUGACAUCCACUCUGCAUUGAAUAAACUAGCAUAUACCCAUGGAGCGGGCAAAGUUGAAAUGUAAUAUACAUUAGUUAAAUGGGCACGAUGAUUGAGCUACAUUAAAUUUCUAACGUUACUGAAGUUUUAUUAAAGGUUAAACACGAAAUUAACUGCAUUUAGGGACUUAUUGCUGAUGCUAUCUACAUGCAACCCCCAAUAGAUUGAUUGGAGUACGCUAUUUUGCACAAUGCAUUGAGACCAGUGACAGCAGGUCCUGUUCCAAAUAAGACCCUCACAUAUUAGGCAUAUCACCUACCCACUCCCGUACCCAAUGCCACUGUCGGACCAAAGCCAGGCGCAUGGAGAGAUGCAGAACGCAAUUCAAACUGACAACAUCAGUCAGUAAAGAAUAAAACAAAGAGCAAGCGCUGGCCACUGUACAUAUUUUGUCCAUCCUGGCAUAACUGUUUAUUGAUACCCUGACUGCAUG